rfam:Heterocephalus glaber contig232531, whole genome shotgun sequence.
GGAUGUGAGGGUGAUCUGGCUGCGACCUCUGUUACCCCACUGACUGUCAGGGUUCAUUCGGCUGAUCUGGCUGGCUAGGUGAAUGUUUCCUUCCUCCCUCCUUCACGGCUCCAUGUGCGCCCCUCCUGAAACUGCAUGCUUAGACGAUGGCCACCCCAAUGGAGGCGGACUAUUUCCUCGGUCAAGGGUAUAUGAGUAGCUGCACUCCCCUCCUAGAACCUCCAAACAACCUCUCAAAAUAGUCACCCCGUGAAGGACACAGUCAGUAGCAGUAGGUGCCUUCACCAUGUUGUGGGACCACCACUGUGUGUUCCCAACA